UACAGAGGGUGCAAGCGUUAAUCGGAAUUACUGGGCGUAAAGCGCGCGUAGGUGGUUCAGUAAGUUGGAAGUGAAAUCCCCGGGCUCAACCUGGGAACUGCUUUCAAAACUGCUGAGCUAGAGUACGGUAGAGGGUGGUGGAAUUUCCUGUGUAGCGGUGAAAUGCGUAGAUAUAGGAAGGAACACCAGUGGCGAAGGCGACCACCUGGACUGAUACUGACACUGAGGUGCGAAAGCGUGGGGAGCAAACAGG
rnacentral:rRNA from 1 species